GGCCUAACACAUGCAAGUCGAACGGUAACAGGAAGCAGCUUGCUGCUUCGCUGACGAGUGGCGGACGGGUGAGUAAUGUCUGGGAAACUGCCUGAUGGAGGGGGAUAACUACUGGAAACGGUAGCUAAUACCGCAUAACGUCGCAAGACCAAAGAGGGGGACCUUCGGGCCUCUUGCCAUCGGAUGUGCCCAGAUGGGAUUAGCUAGUAGGUGGGGUAACGGCUCACCUAGGCGACGAUCCCUAGCUGGUCUGAGAGGAUGACCAGCCACACUGGAACUGAGACACGGUCCAGACUCCUACGGGAGGCAGCAGUGGGGAAUAUUGCACAAUGGGCGCAAGCCUGAUGCAGCCAUGCCGCGUGUAUGAAGAAGGCCUUCGGGUUGUAAAGUACUUUCAGCGGGGAGGAAGGCGACAGGGUUAAUAACCCUGUCGAUUGACGUUACCCGCAGAAGAAGCACCGGCUAACUCCGUGCCAGCAGCCGCGGUAAUACGGAGGGUGCAAGCGUUAAUCGGAAUUACUGGGCGUAAAGCGCACGCAGGCGGUCUGUCAAGUCGGAUGUGAAAUCCCCGGGCUCAACCUGGGAACUGCAUUCGAAACUGGCAGGCUAGAGUCUUGUAGAGGGGGGUAGAAUUCCAGGUGUAGCGGUGAAAUGCGUAGAGAUCUGGAGGAAUACCGGUGGCGAAGGCGGCCCCCUGGACAAAGACUGACGCUCAGGUGCGAAAGCGUGGGGAGCAAAC
rnacentral:rRNA from 1 species